CUAAAAGUUCAGUCCUAACUUUGCUAUUAGUUUUAACUAGACUUACACAUGCAAGUCUCAGCCCCCCCGUGACAACGCCUGCACAAAGAGCCGAUAUCAGGCACAACAUACGUUAGCCCACUACAUCUAGCCCAGCCACACCCCCAAGGGCAUGCAGCAGCGAUUAACCUUAAUAAUAAGCGCAAGCUUGACUUAGUCAUAGUUAAAAGAGUUGGUAAAUCCUGUGCCAGCCACCGCGGUUAAACAAGAAACCCAAACUAAUAAACACGGCGUAAAGUGUGAUCAAGAAAACAAUCAAUCUUUCCUAGGACUAAAAACUUACCCAGCUGUAAUACGCCUUAGUAGCAUAACACGCACAACAGCGAAAGCGACCCUAGUACCAACGACUAUCCCUAUAUCACGAUCGCUAAGACACAAACUGGGAUUAGAUACCCCACUAUGCUUAGCCGUAAAACUUGACCAUUACCCCCUCAUCUGCCAGAGUACUACGAGCGCCAGCUUAAAACUCAAAGGACUUGGCGGUGCCCCAAACCCACCCAGAGGAGCCUGUUCUAUAAUCGAUACCCCACGUUUUACCUCACCACCUUUUGCAAUCAGCCUAUAUACCACCGUCGCCAGCCAACCUCCUGAGAGACCUAAAAUUAGCAAAAUUGUACUCCACAAACACGUCAGGUCAAGGUGUAGCACAUAGGGUGGCAAGAAAUGGGCUACAUUUUCUCCUAGAAGAGACCACGAAUAAUAAAAUGAAAAAUAAUUUGAAGGCGGAUUUGGCAGUAAGAAGAAACCACUAAGUUCUUCUUAAUUUGGCUCUGAGGCGCGCACACACCGCCCGUCACCCCUCUCAUCAAUGAUUAAACCACUAUAAAUAAUAACAAAGCUAAACCUUAGAUGAGGAAAGUCGUAACAUGGUAAGCGCACUGGAAAGUGCUCUUGGAUUAAC
rnacentral:ncRNA from 1 species